UACGUAGGGGGCGAGCGUUGUCCGGAUUUAUUGGGCGUAAAGAGCGUGUAGGCGGCCAGGUAGGUCUGCUGUGAAACCUCCAGGCUCAACCUGGAGACGCCACCCGAUACUGCUGUGGCUAGAGUCCGGUAGGGGAGCGUGGAAUUCCUGGUGUAGCGGUGAAAUGCGCAGAUAUCAGGAGGAACACCAGCGGCGAAGGCGGCGCUCUGGGCCGGUACUGACGCUGAGGAGCGAAAGCGUGGGGAGCAAACAG
rnacentral:rRNA from 1 species